rnacentral:pre_miRNA from 1 species
UCUUAUGGAUAAGCAAAGAAAGUGGUUUUUUGAGAUGAAAUCUACACCUGGUGAAGAUGCUGUGAA